UAAUAUUGAUCCUCCUCCAUUAGUUGAUAAUUCAAGGGGGCUUUACCUGGAAUGAAAGAACAAAAAUGGACUCAUGAAGGUUUAAUUACCAUAACAAACUGGUAAAUAGAAGGAACUGAACAAGAUAUACAAUACCACAAACUAAUUUUUGUAACUUAUCAUAUUCAACUAAUGAGAUUGAUCCAAUACUAAAAGGCCAAACAAACUUACAACUGAAAAACUAUCGCUAACAUAUAAAACACAAUAAAAGUUAGGGAGAAAAAUUGCAGCGCAUACUGAAGGACUGGAGAGAGUGACCUGAAAUUGAAUCAACUACUGAAUGGAAGUCUGUUAACGCUAAAUAAGAAGAACUUCUGCACCAAUUCUUUCACAGUGUAAUUAAACCCCUGUGGAAAUUUGGCAACCAAAAUACAAAGUAUACAGAUUAUCCAAUCUCUUUAAUACUAGUAGGGAAAAAAAUUAGACAAAGAAAAUGAGUAGUUACCUUUAGUAGGAAAGGUUGCAAAGGAAAAGGAGGAAGAAGCGUGGAGUUUUUUUGUGAGCAGUAUUUGUGUUCCUAAUAUAUAAACACACAAGUUUUGUGAGUUGUUAAAGAUUUUUCUUUCACUGUUGAAAAUUUGCCUACUGGCCAACAAAAGGAAAACAAAAGGACAAAUCUAUAUCCCUAACAAUGCUAUUAGCCAUCAUGAACACACUAGAUAACGACACAAAGUUGAUGAAUUGUUAGUGAUUUUUCUUUCAAUCUUGAUAGUUUCUCAACUGGGGAACGAAAUGGAAGACAAAAGGAAAAGAAAGACAAAAGGAAAAGGAAGACAAAAUGACAAACCUAUAUCUCUAGUAAGGAAUAGAAAUCAUACUUCAUACUUGACUCUUUAAGGAACAAUCUCACGGUUGGGAUAUGGAUGAACCGCCAUAAUUUAUGGGAAAAAAUUGCCAAAUUGUUGGCCAAGUGGUGGAGGAGUUCAAGUGGUAUUUUUGUUCCUUUGAACCAGAAGGAAAAGAAAGUCAUCAUUUAGGGGAAAAAUCGUCAAUUUGUUGACCAACUGUUGGCGGAGUUGAAGUGGUACUUUUCUUCAUCCGAACCAGAAAGAAAACGAAGAAAGAAUGGAAUCGGAAACAGAGAGAGAACAACAUAGGAGAAAAAGUAGAGCUAAACAUGAAGAUAAUGAAAUCUACAAGUAUAUUUAUUGUGGUCAAAGAUGAGAUAAAGUGUGAUUCGAAAUCACAAGGGC
rnacentral:lncRNA from 1 species